rnacentral:SRP_RNA from 1 species
GGUUGGGUCUCUUGCAAGAAGGGCCAGCGAACCCCGCCAGGUCCGGAAGGAAGCAACGGUAGUUAGGAUGUCUUCGUGUGCGUGAGUGCCUAAUCCUA